AAGCGUGCGCUGGCGCAGUUAGAAACCGGCGUGUAAGCAGUCUUGGCGGUGAUGGCCAGGUUUUGGUCAUUGCCGCCAAGAUCCUUACACGCAGGUUUCUGCGCCUGCAGACGCAUUUCA
rnacentral:sRNA from 1 species